rnacentral:tRNA from 1 species
GCCUGGCUGGCUCUGUCGGCAGGGCAGGCGACUCUUGAUCUCAAGGUUGUGAGUUCAAGCCCCACGUUGGGUG